rnacentral:rRNA from 1 species
UACGUAGGGUGCAAGCAUUAAUCGGAUUUAUUGGGCGUAAAGGGCGCGUAGGCGGAAAUGCCAGUCAGAUGUGAAAGCCCGGGGCUCAACCCCGGAACAGCAUUUGAAACUACAUUUCUAGAGGGUAGGCGGAGAAAACGGAAUUCCACAAGUAGCGGUGAAAUGCGUAGAUAUGUGGAAGAACACCAGUGGCGAAGGCGGUUUUCUAGCUUAUACCUGACGCUGAGGCGCGAAAGCAAGGGGAG